rnacentral:rRNA from 1 species
GAUGAACGCUGGCGGCGUGCCUAAUACAUGCAAGUCGAGCGAACAGACGAGGAGCUUGCUCCUCUGACGUUAGCGGCGGACGGGUGAGUAACACGUGGAUAACCUACCUAUAAGACUGGGAUAACUUCGGGAAACCGGAGCUAAUACCGGAUAAUAUAUUGAACCGCAUGGUUCAAUAGUGAAAGACGGUUUUGCUGUCACUUAUAGAUGGAUCCGCGCCGAAUUAGCUAGUUGGUAAGGUAACGGCUUACCAAGGCAACGAUGCGUAGCCGACCUGAGCGGGUGAUCGGCCAGACGGGAACUGAGACACGGUCCAGACUCCUACGGGAGGCAGCAGUAGAGAAUCUUCCGCAAUGGGCGAAAGCUUGACGGAGCAACGCCGCGUGAGUGAUGAAGGUCUUCGGAUCGUAAAACUCUGUUAUUAGGGAAGAACAAAUGUGUAAGUAACUAUGCACGUCUUGACGGUACCUAAUCAGAAAGCCACGGCUAACUACGUG